rnacentral:lncRNA from 1 species
ACACCAGGCCCAAACCCACCGCCCUCGGCAGCCGCCCCACGCGGGCCCUUCCUCGGCAGACUUCCCAACCUCUACUUGAGCCGCAGAGGAAAGUGAGACCCCCUAGGCUCUCCUGAAGCCAGCUCUGGGCCCCUCCCCAAGGAUGCUUUGGGAAGGAGAUAAGGAGGUGAGAUAGAAUCUGGCAGAGACGGAAGAUGAAAAAAAGACCAACGGAAGAAAAGAAAGCAGGAAGGAGCAAAGGAAAGAAGAAAAAAAGAAAGAAGAGAUAAAAGAGGAAGGGAAGACAGGGAAAAGAAGGAAGAAAAGAGAGGCGACUCCUAGCAGCGGCCGAGCUUACAGAGAGAAGGGUGGAGGUGUGUGGUGGAAGGGGAAAGCCGGCCGGCUGGCAAAGCGCUGCGGAGAAAGACACGAGGCUCCUGAGCAGGGAAAGCCGAGGUUGCCACCGCAGGCCUGGCACGACCAGGGCCGUGAUGCCCCGCCCGGCCCGACCCCCGCGCGCAGAGGUACCUGGAGACGAUUUCAACUGAAGUAAUGAAGGCAGUGUCGUGCUGUCGAGAGAAAGGUGGAUCCCAACAACAGGAAACUACCUAAAUCACCGACCAGUUCUGGUGCUGCCCGCGAAGGGCUGCCUCGCCCGCCGCCGCCGCCGCCUCCGCCGCUGCCGCCGCCGCCAAGGAGAGAACCCUGCCAUCGCGCCUGGCCCGGCCCAGCCCAGCCCCUAGGCAACCUGCGCCCGCCAGUGCAACAGAGUGCCCCAGGCGGCCGCAAAUGCGUCAAGGAAGGGGAAGCCACAGGCCCCAGUAAGCCAAAGUCAAGCCCGUUUGCCAACCUGCAUGUCCAUGCCUGUAAGCCCUUCUCUUGGCCAAGGAAGAAAGGAAGAAAGAAAAAAGAAACCCAGGGGCCUGUAUCCCCUGAUUAAACACAGCACAGCACUCCAGGCAGACAUGCCCGGUGGCGGCUCCUUUGCACCAUUGACCUCAGGCCAGACACCUCAGCGCCAACAAUGGGACCUCGGCCUUCCGGCUAGGUUUGCCCCAGGCUGGGCAGGAAACCAGCUCGGCCGAAGACAGGGGCCAUUUCGAGCAGUGGGACCCCAAGACAGCAAACCCAGCCCAGUCAGGACUUGACACUUAGGACAAUAUCUAUCUCUAUAGAAUUUUAGCAUGAUAUGGCUUUUUCCCCCAGAAAACAACAAAUAAACCAGCACCAAGCAAACACAAAGAAACAAAAAGUCAGAACAAACCAGCCCUGCACAGAUGUAACGGCCCAGGAGAUGGCGAGUGUGGGAGGGAGGAACAGGGCUCCAGCACAGGUGCGAGUUCCUGGGCAGAGCCUGAAGACAGAGGGAGGGGACCAGCGCUCGGGAAGUGAAAAAACCGCGUCGCCUGGAGAUUCAUCAGGAAAAAUUAAAGUUGGCUGUGAGCUCCCG